AUCAAAACACGACAGUCAAGAGUACCCUUCGCCACGGCGAGUACCCGAUGGUUAUCUUUGGAGGGUUUUUGACAACAAGCUGCAUGAAAGUUUCAAGUCUGUUUCAAGCCCACACCCACCGUCACUGAUGGUCUUUUACAAGGAUGAGAGGGACAGAAAGACUUUGAUGUCAUAACUGAAAGAAAUACUGCAUGAGAGAGAGACAAAACAGAAGAACGGAGAAGAAGAUGCACAUGUGAAGAGGAAUAAAAGACAAAAAGAGGAACAAGUAGGACUCCUGCUUGUGGUUUCUGGGCCUCACGGUUGGAGAAUCGAAGGUCAUGGGAGAUAGCGAGGAGAUAAAUAUCGCUGGCAAUAAAAGGCCUGCAUCAUGAAUAAUAAAACAGCCGUAAUCUCGACCAAUGAUUUAUACAUCUACAGGCUCUGAUGGCUGCACACACACACACACACACACACACAUGCACACAGGCGAGGAGUCACACAUUGAGCUCUGUUAAAUUGAGAUGAAUGGUGAUGCAGAGUGUGGGACCGGCGUUGGACACACACACACACACACACCCAAACAGUCACUUACCCAUACACACACACAGACCGACACCCUCCCACACGUGCUAGCGAAGAACACAAGAGAUUCAUGCUGAAAAUAUGGAGACGUUAAAAC